GGGCGUGGCCAAGCGGUAAGGCAGCGGGUUUUGGUCCCGUUACUCGGAGGUUCGAAUCCUUCCGUCCCAGA
rnacentral:tRNA from 1 species